GAUGAACGCUGGCGGCGUGCCUAAUACAUGCAAGUCGAGCGAACGGACGAGAAGCUUGCUUCUCUGAUGUUAGCGGCGGACGGGUGAGUAACACGUGGAUAACCUACCUAUAAGACUGGGAUAACUUCGGGAAACCGGAGCUAAUACCGGAUGAUAUUUUGAACCGCAUGGUUCAAAAGUGAAAGACGGUCUUGCUGUCACUUAUAGAUGGAUCCGCGCUGCAUUAGCUAGUUGGUAAGGUAACGGCUUACCAAGGCAACGAUGCAUAGCCGACCUGAGAGGGUGAUAGGCCACACUGGAACUGAGACACGGUCCGGACUCCUACGGGAGGCAGCAGUAGGGAAUCUUGCGCGAUGGGCGAAAGCCUGACGGAGCAACGACGCGUGAGUGAUGAAGGUCUUCGAAUCGUAAAACUCUGUUAUUAUGGAAGAACAUAUGUGUAAGUAACUCUGCACAGCUUGACGCUACCUAAUCAGAAAGCCACGGCUAACUACGUG
rnacentral:rRNA from 1 species